rnacentral:rRNA from 1 species
AACAUAGGGGGCGAGCGUUAUCCGGAAUUAUUGGGCGUAAAGAGUACGUAGGCGGCCUGUUAAGUCUGAUGUGAAAUCCCGCGGCUUAACCGCGGAGGGUCAUUGGAAACUGGCAGGCUUGAGUACGGCAGGGGUAAGUGGAAUUCCAAGUGGAGCGGUGAAAUGCGUAGAUAUUUGGAGGAACACCAGUGGCGAAGGCGGCUUACUGGGCCGGAACUGACGCUGAGGUACGAAAGCGUGGGGAGCAAACAGGAUUAGAUACC